rnacentral:ribozyme from 1 species
UCUUUUCAUUCAACACUCAACACACCACUACAUAUCCUAGUCUCAGAUCUCAAGGUAUCUCCAAGUCAUAACAGGUAUCCUAGGUGUAUCUCUUGGGUUAUAGGGUGUGGAAUGAGUGGAAAGAGAAUGUGAAGAAGGAGUGGUAAUGUAGUGAAAAGAAAGCACGCGCUCCUUCUUCACAUCUCUUUUCACUCACCACACAAACAACCCCUAGAAACGAGGGAAC